UUAUAACCUUUGAUAAGAAGUAGUAGGCUUAAACCCAAAUUUACAGCGAGUUGUAUAAGGUGAGAGUACAACAAUUAUGAUUAAGUUAAAUGGAUCUUUGAGGUUCUUAAAGGAAAUUAUAGUAUUUUAAGACGUAAUUCCUACGUUAUAGGGAUAGGAUAUAAUUGUAUCUGAAAAAGAUGAGAUUUUUCUCUAAAACUUAGGUGGCACCGCGUAAUAUCGCCCUAUGA
rnacentral:ncRNA from 1 species